rnacentral:rRNA from 1 species
CUCUCGGGGGGGAUAUCGUCGCGCACCCCGGAUCCGAGCUCGGUCCCGUGCCUUGGCCUCCCGCGGAUCUUCCUUGCUGCGAGGCUUCCGUGGCGGUUUUACCGUCGCGGUCGUUCUCUUCGGCCGCCAUUCAACGCUCAGCUCAGAACUGGCACGGACUAGGGGAAUCCGACUGUCUAAUUAAAACAAAGCAUUGCGAUGGCCCCCAAGGGUGUUGACGCAAUGUGAUUUCUGCCCAGUGCUCUGAAUGUCAACGUGAAGAAAUUCAAAAAAGCGCGGGUAAACGGCGGGAGUAACUAUGACUCUCUUAAGGCCAAGGACACGAUUUGGAUUACGAUUGGAUAUCUGUAUCGAGUUCAUAAAAAACAGUUAAAUUCGACAAUAUGGAGAAUAGUGCCUCGGACGCAGCGCCUCUCAGUCCCGGAGGCGCUGUGGCGGAUUUAUCCGCUUCGGAGGGGACUACGGGUAACGACCAGGCAACGUCCCCGGCUAUGAGUUUGAUUACUGUGCCGCUCGUGGGCAAUCGGGUUACCUGUCCAGAAUGCGAGAAAAGGGAAACUAACCUUUUCUUUUUAAAUCUGUCGGACCUGGACAGGCAUUUAACACAACACCACCCGGAUGCCCCGAUCUUUUGGUCUUGUAUUAACUGCGCGAAAUGCUUCCCGAAGCUUCAUGGGGCUAGAUGUCACAUACCUAAGUGUGGUGGCGCUAGCAGCCAGGCCAGGACAGGACAGUUUUAUUGUGAGGCCUGUCCCAUGAGUUUCGGAUCGCGCAGAGGGCUAUCCACCCACGAACGGCAUGCGCACCCUGCCGUUAGAAAUAUCAAAAGAAGGGGAGCGGACCCCCCAGAAGAAAAUACAAAGUCAUGGAGAGUAGAAGAGGUAGCACUCUUGAAGGGGCUAUGGGGAAUAUUUAAAAAUCAUAAAUACCCCAAUAAAGAAAUUAGUAAAUUCCUCACCACGAAAACUAUCGAUCAAAUCAAGUACCAAAGGAAAAAGUUAAACUUAAUUGGUGAGGAAAGCCCCCAAGAGGCUAUCUCAUUGGCAACAGAGGGAGGGUGCGAUCUCGUUAGUUCAGGCAAUGCCAGUUUUGGAUCGCCUGUAGGCCGCAACGAGAACGAAGAGCGCAUCCACGAAUGGAAGCUCUCGCUAAAAAACGAAAUAAAUAAGCCAACCGAGGUGCCCCCUAUUUUAAGGGAGGUUUACAAUCGGUUGAUGUUAAUCUGGGAAGAGCACCAAGAUGAUCGAGACUCUCUAACGGAGAGUCUCGAUCACUUUAUACGCACAGCUCUAUACGAGCUUAUAAACAAAAUAAAUAAAAACCAAAAGGAUUUAAAAACUAAAAGAGCAGCCAAAACAAAAAGCCCAAAAAAUAAUAGAAACUCCAGAAAGCGAUUCUCAUACGCUCGUUGCCAGGAGUUAUUUCACGAAUGCCCAAGGAGACUGGCUGAUGCCGUGGUCAAUAACGAUCAGGCAUAUCUCGAACCAGCCAGACAACCUCCCGGAUCAGAGGAAGUGAGGGGGCUCUACGAAAAGCUGUGGGGAGAAGUGGGUUCCACAUACGUCCCGAUUCCAGUUACAAGAGCCCCCAACCUAUCCCUAUCCGAGAUCUUCCCGCCGAUAACGGCUGAGGAUGUGGGGGAGAAGAUCGGCAGAAUAAGAAAGAAAGCUGCUGCAGGACCGGAUGGAUUACAGCGAGAUCACUUAACCAUCCCCGGCCUGCCCAUCAUAAUGGCUAAAAUUUAUAAUAUACUUAUUUAUUGUUCUUAUUUUCCUUCCGCAUGGAAGGAAAAUAGAACAACUCUUAUUCCUAAAGCAAAUAAGCCAAGCAGCCGGGUCGAGAACUGGCGACCCAUUACAAUCAGUCCGAUUUUAGGCCGAAUCUUCUCCUCUAUUAUCGACGGGAGGAUAAGAAGAGGCGUUGUGUUAAAUAUGAGACAGAAGGGCUUUACAUCCGAAAACGGAUGUAAAAUCAACAUCGAGUUAUUAAACUCUGCCCUAAACCAUAGCAAGAGAAACCGCGGCGGGAUAUUCACUAUCGUGGAUAUCUCGAAAGCAUUUGACACAGUGCCUCAUGCAGCCUUAAAACCUUGUCUGGCAAAAAAGGGUGUGCCCGACCCUAUAGUCGAGUUAAUCGACGAGAUGUACAAGAAUACAAAAACUACCAUAAAAACUAAAGACGGCGGGAUCGAGAUUCUGAUCCGCCGAGGAGUUAAGCAAGGCGACCCCCUAUCGCCCUUACUCUUCAAUAUAUGCUUAGAGCCACUGCUGGAAGAGAUCGAGGAGCAAGUCAGUGGAAUUAACGUUACUGAAAAUCGCCAAGUAUCAGUUCUGGCCUUCGCUGACGAUAUUGUAUUACUUGGAGCGGACGCGAGGGAAGCACAACACCAAAUCAAUAUUCUCACUAGUUAUCUGGAAAGCCUCCAGAUGAAACUUUCUAUCGAAAAAUGCCAAACCUUCGAGGUUGUGGCUAAAAAAGAUACCUGGUUCAUUAAAGAGCCAGGUCUUAAAAUCGGGAAACAAACAAUACCCAAUGUAGAUCCCGAUGAGGCUUUCAAAUAUUUGGGCGCCAAAAUCGGGCCAUGGAAAGGCGUCCAUUGUGGUGUAAUUGUUCCAGAACUUCUGAGCGUGGUGAAAAGGGUGAGGAAACUCUCCCUCAAGCCAGGCCAGAAGCUGGAACUGCUAAUCAAAUAUAUCUUCCCUCGCUAUAUUUAUCACCUACUUGUUAGUCCGCCGAGUGAUACUGUCCUCAAACUACUAGACAGCGAGGUCAGGCAGGAAGUUAAAAUCAUCUUACAUCUUAUGCCUUCCACUGCCACAGGCUUCUUUUACACUCCAAAAGCCUGUGGAGGCUUAGGCUUACCGAGAUUUGAACAUAUAGUCAAACUCGGUACCCUAAAAAGUGCAAUAAAGAUCGCAAACUCGAUCGAUCCAGCGGUCGCUGGCCUAAUCGACGAAGCAGCCAAUAAAAAGUUAAAAUUAACGGCCAACUCCUUGCGGAUCAAUUGGCCAGCCUCCUUGGAGGAUAUUGAGAAAGCUCGAAAACGCUUAAGAAAAGAGCAUAUCAGCCAAUGGGCUGAUCUAAAAUGCCAGGGACAAGGCGUCCCUGAUUUUAUUAAAAAUAAAACUGGCAACUUGUGGCUUGAGGACCAUAGUCUACUCAAACCAUCGAGGCUCAUCGAUGCCCUUCGAUUACGAACCAACACCUUUGGUACAAGAUCGGUGCUGGCACGGGCUGACAAAAAUAUCGAUGUAACAUGUCGAAGAUGUCGAGCCCAGCCCGAGACCCUUGGACACAUACUCGGACUGUGUCAGCACACCAAAGGCUUAAGAAUCAAGAGGCACGAUGAGGUCAAAUCCCUCCUCGAGGAAAGACUUAAAAAUAACAAGAAGAAUGAAGUAUUCGUGGAGCCGACGAUUAAGGCCGGAGGCAGUUUAUUCAAACCGGACCUCGUAAUUAAAAACGGGGAAAGGGUUCUCGUGGUCGACGUAACUGUCCGCUACGAGAACAAAAACUACCUGGCCUUAGCCGAGAAAGAAAAAGUAGAAAAGUAUCGGCCAUGCCUUAAGGCAUUAAAAGAGGUAUUUAACGCUAAAGGAGGAGAGAUUCUCCCGGUGGUCUUGGGCAGUAGAGGCACUAUCACGCCUAAUACCGAGAAAGUCCUCAAGCGACUGGGAAUCGCCAAUAACGACAUAAAGACUAUGCUUUUAAACGUAUUGAGAAGCUCGAUAGAGCUGUGCAAUAUAUUCAUUGAUGAUUGAUGAUUAUGAACCAAAAUCCCAGACACUGUCUAUGUCUUAUUCGUUUAUUAUUUAUUUAUUUAUUUAUUAAUUAAUCAAAUUGUACAUAUGAAUUUAUUAAUUACUAUUUAUUAUAUACACAAAUAUUUGUUUGUCCGUGGUCAAGUGUUACCAGAAAUUGUUCAAUCAAUUGAGGUAACAUCAAGUUUUAAAAACCUUACGAGGGGGUUCCUCGGAAGUGUGAACUUGUAAAAGUCAUAGAAAAUAGCCAAAUGCCUCGUCAUCUAAUUAGUGACGCGCAUGAAUGGAUUAACGAGAUUCCCUCUGUCCCUAUCUACUUGGAGCAGGCAAUCAAAUACCUUGGAGUGCACCUCGAAGGAGGGCUAAAGGUCAACAAGCACGUGGAGGCAAUAACAGGUAAGUGCCAAAAACUCUUCAACAGCCUCGCGAGGGUGGCCAAGGCGAAGUGGGGACUCGGACAUGCGGCCAUGCGUACCCUGUACAGAGGGCUGUACGAGCCGAUAACCACAUACGCCGCAGCCGGCUGGAGCGACCUACUGAAGGGGAAAGCGAGGAGCAAGCUGAUAAGGUCACAGAGGAUGGCACUCCUGCGAGUGACCAAGGCCUACAGAACCACGUCAACCGAGGCACUGCAGGUUAUCGCCGGAGUCAUUCCUAUUGACCUCCUAGUCGAAAUCAGGGCAAGACUCCACAAUAAGAAGAGGAGGCGCGACGAAGCGCCUGACGAGAAAACCAUCGUCGGCGAGGCGUUAGAGAAGUGGCAAGAGCGCUGGCAAACGACGCCAAAGGGCAGGACAACCUUCGACUACUUCGCUAGCAUCAAGGACAGACUUGAGAAUCGCUGGGUGAGACCCGACCACUACACGACACAGUUCAUCAGCGGCCACGGGGAUUUCAACGGUAAGCUCAAGUCAUUCAACCUCAGCGAAUUGGACACAUGUGAAUGCGGCGAAAUAGAAACCGCCCAUCACAUCCUAGAAGACUGCCCAAUCUUCAAUGAAGAAAGGCAGGAAUUCCGGAAUGCACUGGGAGAACUCGAUCGGCGCUGGCCGGAAGAAAAGCGGGAGUACGUAACAAAAGACGUAUAUCCCCACUUCUGCCAGUUUGCAAGGAAAGUACUCCAAGCGAAGGAGGAGAAGAGAAGGAACGCCCUACGAGAAAUGGAAGGCGCAACGCAGCCAGGGCGACUGCCAGAAAGAGGAUCGACGCAACUGGAGGGGCAGGCAGGCCGGCCUCUAA